UACGUAGGGCGCAAGCGUUGUCCGGAAUUAUUGGGCGUAAAGAGCUCGUAGGCGGCCUGUUACGUCUGCUGUGAAAUCCCGGGGCUUAACCCCGGGCGUGCAGUCGAUACGGGCAGGCUAGAGUUCGGCAGGGGAGACUGGAAUUCCUGGUGUAGCGGUGAAAUGCGCAGAUAUCAGGAGGAACACCGGUGGCGAAGGCGGGUCUCUGGGCCGAUACUGACACUGAGGAGCGAAAGCGUGGGGAGCGAACAGG
rnacentral:rRNA from 1 species